rnacentral:lncRNA from 1 species
GCAUCCAGCAGUGGUUAGUUGCUCACCUCAUCUCCCAGACAGAGUUUGACUUGUGGGAUCUGAUUGUCUCAGAGAUAGAGGACACAACCUCAGAGAGCUUCAGGGGACGGCGUCAGUUGCCGUAUGCACAUUGGAUCACUCUACUUAUACUUCGUGCUAGGCCACUGCCCCUGCCAGCUCACUUGCAGAGGGAGUUGACAGAGUCCGACACCGUCUUCCCCCACUACGACCCCC